rnacentral:RNase_P_RNA from 1 species
UUGGGCAAUCGCGUAAUAAGGUGCCGAAAGGUAUUAUUAUGAGGAAAGUCCGGGCUUCACAGGGAAAGGAUAACGGAUAACGUCCGCCGUAGGUGACUACCGGGAAAGUGCAACAGAAAUAAACCGCCGGCGUAAUAUGCCGGUAAGGAUGGAAAGGCGAGGUAAGAGCUCACCGGCUGGCUGGUAACAGUUCAGCAAAUGUAAACCCUAUCCGAAGCAACACCGUUGCGGGAGAUUCCCUGACGCAUGAUCGCAAUCGCGGCCAUGCCCCGCAUGGGUGGCACCGCCGAAAGGUGGAAGGAACGUGGUGACACGUUUCGCAGAUAGAUGAUUGCCCUCGACAGAACCCGGCUUACAGAUUCGGUCU